CACUAAGAAGCUAAACCGGGCCAAGCAUUAGCCUUUUAAGCUAAAUAUUGGUGAUUCCCUACCACCCUUAGUGA
rnacentral:tRNA from 1 species